rnacentral:rRNA from 1 species
UACGUAGGGGGCGAGCGUUGUCCGGAAUUACUGGGCGUAAAGGGUGCGUAGGCGGCCUCAGAAGUCAGGUGUGAAAUACCGUGGCUUAACCACGGGGGUGCAUUUGAAACUUUGAGGCUUGAGUGCAGGAGAGGAAAGUGGAAUUCCUAGUGUAGCGGUGAAAUGCGUAGAGAUUAGGAGGAACACCAGUGGCGAAGGCGACUUUCUGGACUGUAACUGACGCUGAUGCACGAAAGCGUGGGUAGCGAACAGGAUUAGAUACCCUGGUAGUCCACGCCGUAAACGAUGGAUACUAGGUGUAGGAGGUAUCGACCCCUUCUGUGCCGUAGUUAACGCAAUAAGUAUCCCGCCUGGGGAGUACGUGCGCAAGCAUGAA